CAGACUUCCGCACCUCUGUAGGAGAAUGCAUUUUUCAUACUAUUUGUUUUUGGUUUAGGCAAUGUCAAAUCGGCUCCCGACUGUCUUGUGUUAUGGUCGUGUACAUCACCCACAUUUGUGAACAUAUCAUACAAGUAAUCGGGGACCAAUUUGUUUUUUACCUUGUACAUGAGAAUUGAAAGUUGUUGCAUUCUUCUUUUUUCGAGGUUCGGAACUCCUAGCUUGUUUAAUAUAUCAGCCGAUCGUGUCGUAUAAUUCUCACGAGUGAUUAUUCGAAACGCU